rnacentral:rRNA from 1 species
UUAGCAGCGUACUGUAGAGAGAGUUUUCCCCUUCGGGGGCAAAAUGACAGAGUGGUGCAUGGUUGUCGUCAGCUCGUGUCGUGAGAUGUUGGGUUAAGUCCCGCAACGAGCGCAACCCUUAUGACUAGUUGCCAGCAUUUAGUUGGGCACUCUAGUAAGACUGCCGGUGACAAACCGGAGGAAGGUGGGGAUGACGUCAAAUCAUCAUGCCCCUUAUGACCUGGGCUACACACGUGCUACAAUGGAUGGUACAACGAGUUGCGAGACCGCGAGGUCAAGCUAAUCUCUUAAAGCCAUUCUCAGUUCGGACUGUAGGCUGCAACUCGCCUACACGAAGUCGGAAUCGCUAGUAAUCGCGGAUCAGCACGCCGCGGUGAAUACGUUCCCGGGUCUUGUACACACCGA